AUUGAACGCUGGCGGCAGGCUUAACACAUGCAAGUCGAGCGAGCGGCGGACGGGUGAGUAAUGUCUGGGAAACUGCCUGAUGGAGGGGGAUAACUACUGGAAACGGUAGCUAAUACCGCAUACCAUCAGAUGUGCACAGAUGGGAUUAGCUAGUAGGUGGGGUAAUGGGUAACCUAGGCGACGAUCCCUAGCUGGUCUGGGAGGAUGACCAGCAACACUGGACCGGAGACACGGUCCAGACUCCUCCGGAAGGCAGCAGAGGGGAAUAUUGGACAAUGGGCGCAAUCCGGAUGCAGCCAGGCCGGGUAGGUGAAGAGGGCCUUCGAGUUGUAAAGCACUUUCAGAGAGGAGGCGGUACUCGCAGAAGAAGCACCGGCUAACUACGUGCCAGCAGCCGCGGUAAUUC
rnacentral:rRNA from 1 species